rnacentral:rRNA from 1 species
AAGGCGAUGACGGGUAGCCGGCCUGAGAGGGUGACCGGCCACACUGGGACUGAGACACGGCCCAGACUCCUACGGGAGGCAGCAGUGGGGAAUAUUGCACAAUGGGCGAAAGCCUGAUGCAGCGACGCCGCGUGAGGGAUGAAUGCCUUCGGGUUGUAAACCUCUUUCAGUAGGGACGAAGCGAAAGUGACGGUACCUGCAGAAGAAGCACCGGCUAACUACGUGCCAGCAGCCGCGGUAAUACGUAGGGUGCGAGCGUUGUCCGGAAUUAUUGGGCGUAAAGAGCUUGUAGGCGGUUUGUCGCGUCUGCUGUGAAAGACCGGGGCUUAACUCCGGUUCUGCAGUGGGUACGGGCAGGCUAGAGUAUGGUAGGGGAGACUGGAAUUCCUGGUGUAGCGGUGAAAUGCGCAGAUAUCAGGAGGAACACCGAUGGCGAAGGCAGGUCUCUGGGCCAUUACUGACGCUGAGAAGCGAAAGCAUGGGGAGCAAACAGGAUUAGAUACCCUGGUAGUCCAUGCCGUAAACGUUGGGCGCUAGGUGUGGGACUCAUUCC